UAGCUAAAACAAUGAUGGGGUUUUGAGGUUGAUUUCGUAACAAUAAAGUAAGAGAUUGAUUUAAGAUUUCAGAUAAUUAAAAUGCUAGCCUAGGGUGGUUUGGUCGGGUGUUAAACAGGUGUGAGCCAAACAAUUAUUCAAGUUCAAUUAAGAGCAAGUCUAGAACUCGGAUCACUCAAAUAGAACAAUCCACUGUCGUGGUACUGCCCCCUAUGCUGAUCGAUCUUGAUAC
rnacentral:lncRNA from 1 species